rnacentral:lncRNA from 1 species
CCCUCCACCCCUACUAUCUCCUCUCCCUCUUCCACCAGAUGGACUGAACUGCCCUCCACCCCUACCAUCUCCUCUCCCUCUUCCACCAGAUGGACCAAACUGCCUUCCAUCCUUACCAUCUCUACCAGGGUUAAAUCGGGAUUUCUGAUCUGUUGCAUAAUUCCUCACGCCAUUUUCAGAGGCAACAUGAGAGAUGCCAUCUGAUUUGUUAGUAGUUUGGUUUACCUG